AGAUUUUAAGUUAAUAAAACUAUAUACCUUCAAAGUAUAAAAUAAUACCAAAAUUAAAUCUU
rnacentral:tRNA from 1 species